rnacentral:rRNA from 1 species
AGCAGCCGCGGUAAUUCCAGCUCUAAUAGCGUAUAUUAAAGUUGUUGCAGUUAAAAAGCUCGUAGUUGAAUUUCGGGGUCAGUAGGUCGGUCGUGCCACUGGUAUGAACUGGUUUUACUGAUUCCUCCCUCUUGAAGAACUGUAAUGCCAUUAAUUUGGUGUUGCAGGGAAUCAGGACUGUUACUUUGAAAAAAUUAGAGUGUUUAAAGCAGGCUUUAGCUUGAAUACAUUAGCAUGGAAUAAUGAAAUAGGACGUUUGAUCCUAUUUUGUUGGUUUCUAGGAUUGACGUAAUGAUUAAUAGGGAUAGUUGGGGGCAUUAGUAUUCAAUUGUCAGAGGUGAAAUUCUUGGAUUUAUUGAAGACUAACUACUGCGAAAGCAUUUGCCAAGGAUGUUUUCAUUAAUCAAGGACGAAAGUUAGGGGAUCGACGACGAUCAGAUACCGUCGUAGUCUUAACCAUAAACUAUGCCGACUAGGGAUCGGAUGAUGUUAAUUUUUUAAUGACUCAUUCGGCGCCUUA